UACAGAGGUUGCAAGCGUUAAUCGGAUUUACUGGGCGUAAAGCGUGUGUAGGUGGUUAUACAAGUCGGUUGUGAAAUCCCCGGGCUCAACCUGGGAACUGCUUCCGAGACUGCAUGACUAGAGAUCGGUAGAGGGCGGUGGAAUUUCCGGUGUAGCGGUGAAAUGCGUAGAUAUCGGAAGGAACACCAGUGGCGAAGGCGGCUUUCUGGCCUGUUCUUGACGCUGAGGCGCGAAAGCUAGGGGAGCAAACGGG
rnacentral:rRNA from 1 species